rnacentral:rRNA from 1 species
GAUGAACGCUGGCGGCGUGCCUAAUACAUGCAAGUCGAGCGAACGGACGAGAAGCUUGCUUUUCUGAUGUUAGCGGCGGACGGGUGAGUAACACGUGGAUAACCUACCUAUAAGACUGGGAUAACUUCGGGAAACCGGAGCUAAUACCGGAUAAUAUUUUGAACCGCAUGGUUCAAAAGUGAAAGACGGUCUUGCUGUCACUUAUAGAUGGAUCCGCGCUGCAUUAGCUAGUUGGUAAGGUAACGGCUUACCAAGGCAACGAUGCAUAGCCGACCUGAGAGGGGGACCGGCCACACUGGAACUGAGACACGGUCCAGACUCCUACGGGAGGCAGCAGUAGGGAAUCUUCCGCAAUGGGCGAAAGCCUGACGGAGCAACGCCGCGUGAGUGAUGAAGGUCUUCGGAUCGUAAAACUCUGUUAUUAGGGAAGAACAUAUGUGUAAGUAACUGUGCACAUCUUGACGGUACCUAAUCAGAAAGCCACGGCUAACUACGUG